rnacentral:lncRNA from 1 species
UUGUUUUUUCAUCCAUUUCUUCCUUAUUAUGAAAAGUUUCUCAAUUUCAGCCAUGAUUCCAUAAAAAAUUUCUAUAAAUCAUAAAUUACAUGAAGCACCAAGAUGGAGCAAUGGGCAACAAUCCAAAUAGACAUAAUAAAUUACAUGAAGCAUAUCUGCCAAUGGGCUGGCAACAAUCCAAAUAGACGGUGCUCAACAAAUCAUCAAUCCAUCCAUCAAAAAUCCAAAAAACCAAAUAGAGUAUAGACAUACCACAAACAAAUUAGUGAUGCAAGCAAAUUGCAAUUUUGCACGCCGACAGAAGAAGUGACCCUAUUGCAAGCCGACAGAAGAGACAAACAAAUUGUAAGCAGGCAGAAGAAGAGACACAAACAAAUUACCAUAACCAAAGAGAUCCUAUUUAUUAUCGAACAAAUUCAGAACCCUCAAAUCACAAACCCAAAUUGUUUUGCUCAAACCCAUGAAGAAAAAAUAAAAAAUACACAGAUCCAUUACGCUAAUGAAGAUAUUAAUGGAGGAGAAGAAGAUGGAGAGUCAUAACAGUUAAACCCCUUCUCCACGACUCUUUUUCGAUGCUUCUAACGAAUUUCUCGAUCUGUCGAUGAAGAGUGGAGACGAGAAUACGAGACCAGGCCGCCAGGGGGUCGAUUGUCGAUGACGACGAUGAGCAGGCGAGCGCCGAGCAGUGGUGGAGAUCUGGAGAUGAGAUGGAGACUUGGAGUUGGAGAUGGAGAGAGCGAUGAGCAGCAGACGAGAGAGUGAGAGACGGUAAACGUAAAUCUGAGAUUUGGAAAUUAGGAAGGAAAUAAAAAGACUGAAGAGAAGACAGAUAGUGAAAAUAAGUAAGUAAAUAAAAUUAAUAAAAUAUUAAGUAACCGGUAUAACCGUUCUGUUCCGGUCCGGUUUAUACCGAUCAAAAAAAUAAUGUCCCGAAACCGGAUAUAUACCGAACCGGUGGAUUCAGACCGAUCCGGUUCAUUCAAAAACCGAAAAAAUCGGUUUAUUUGCCCACCCCUACUCAUUCUUGCUUAAAAUAAAUAUUUUUAACUAAGCCG